AAGGCAAUUUAUUCACUUCAUAAAAUCAGGAGGUGUCCUCCUCAAGUGAUAGCCAAUGGGGUAUCAGGGUCACCUCCUGAUUUUAUGAAGUGAAUAAAUUGCCU